GUUUGAUCCUGGCUCAGAGCGAACGUUAGCGGCAGGCUUAACACAUGCAAGUCGAGCGACAAAGGGGCUUCGGCCCUGAGUAGAGCGGCGGACGGGUGCGUAACACGUGGAUAAUCUGCCUCGUGGCGGGGGAUAACAGUCCGAAAGGACUGCUAAUACCGCAUGUCAGGUCGGAAACCCCGGUUUCUGACGAAAAGAGGCGCCCGCAAGGGGCUCUCACCACGAGAUGAGUCCGCGGCCCAUCAGCUAGUUGGCGGUGUAAUAGACCACCAAGGCUAAGACGGGUAGCUGGUCUGAGAGGAUGACCAGCCACACUGGGACUGAGACACGGCCCAGACUCCUACGGGAGGCAGCAGUGGGGAAUAUUGGACAAUGGGCGAAAGCCUGAUCCAGCCAUGCCGCGUGAGUGAUGAAGGUCUUCGGAUCGUAAAGCUCUGUGGGAAGGGACGAAAAAGACCUAACCUAAUACGUUAGGUCUUGACGGUACCUUCUUAGCAAGCACCGGCUAACUCCGUGCCAGCACG
rnacentral:rRNA from 1 species